UAGAGAGCACGGCCGACCCGACGGAGCUGAGAGCGCAUGCUCUCCAAACCAGAGGGGCAGAAAUAAGGCAGAUGGUGCGAGACGGGAGUUGUGCUACACAUCAAUCUUUACUCCUAAUGAAGCAGUUGGGAAGAAUAGGGGUGACGGGAUGGAUUUGGAUCUCAAGAUGGGGAGGCCAACGUGGUCGCCCCUAGUGCGUCGAGCAAAAGCAAGGAUUUGGAUCUCAUGGAUUUGGCUGCGUCGACCAGCAAAGGACCGCCGCCGGCUCGGCUCCUCCACCACGAAGCAACCUCCUUCCACCCCGUAGCCGCCGCCCAAAACCCUAGCAAUCGAGCCCCACCCAUUGCACCCUAGGUGGUACAGCGGCCAGAGGAGAGGAGAUGAGAGGAGAGGAGGUGGAGCAGCCAUCGCCUGGACUUGAGGUGAGCUUCCCCCAUCCAAUCUUAUCUACCCCACCCCCAGGUGGCUCACAAUAUCUAUCACCUGCAGCAGCAUCUUGUGCAUGCAUCCAUUGAGGACGUGAGGUGCACACCACAUUUUGGUUCAGUUUUUCCCUUCUUUAUUAUAAUUAUGCCAAGGACAUCUUAUGCCUUACAGUAGUAUUCAGAUUCUCAAGUUUGUUUAUUUAUUUUCAGUGCAAUACUGCUCUCCUGUCUGCAGGAGAUUGGAGGAAAAAUAUCAGAAAUCGGAAACAUGACGUUUUGGUUCAGUUCUGGAUCUUUUUCUUUUUUGGUUCAGUUUAUAUUAGUGGUUGUUGUUUUAUGUUGCUGCUAGCCAUCAGAAAACGAGUUCAUAGUAGGUUUCCAUCCUUACAAUUCAUUUUGUGUUGCUCUGAACUGAAAAAAGAGGGAAUACUGUUGUGCCUAGCUUGAAGUUCACAGUAGGUUUGGCAUCAAUCGAGCAAACAUUGUUACAGUUAUUAGUGGCUGUUGUAUGUAUUACACUUUUGCUUUUUCUAAAACCACAUGUAUCCUUUAAUCUGAUUGCUUUUCUUUGUGUGAGCAGCAGUUUCUGAGCUUUCCCUCCACUAUUUUUUUCCUCUCUCUCUCUUUCUCCCUCUCACUCAAUCUCAACUUGGCAAGCGAUGGCGGCGGUGAAUGGGCAGCGUGGGCGUCUAGCAGGAUCAUGGGGGAGCAGGGGAGGCCAGAGGCUGCUCACCAUAUACAUCGCCAUCCAUAGCCGCUCUCGUCCACCAAGAAGCUGAGGAGGGAGGCUGACCUCCAGUGACCACUCUGCACCGCUCUGGACGACACCCUCCCCCACCAGGUUUAUCCUCCUAAUUCGUUUUAAUCAUCCUAUUUUUUUGUCUUACCACAGUUAAGAAAUACGAUUCAUGUUUGCUAUUGCAUUGGGAGCUCCAUCCUUACAGCUUAUGGAUGAUAUGAAUACAUCAAGGUGUUUUGGUUCUCCCCAUUCUGUAUGGUCGCAAUGGAGUGUAUAUAUUGUUGAUUUAUGUCAUGGUGAUUGAUUUUGAUUGCAGAGAGAAAGUGCAAAAGCUAUGGGCAAUCCUAUAUGACUGGCGCCAUCAGUAAGGAUUUCUUUUAAGCUAGCUUACUUUUGGGUCUAAGUCGAGUUUAUUUCUUUUGCAGAUUUAUUCACCUUAUUGGGACGGUGGGGUUAAUAUAUAUACAUCAAUUUUGAGCAUCGGCAACGCAUGAAGCUUGCUUCUGAGGCUGCAACAUACUUUGCAAUCCCCCUGUGAAACAUACUCUUGUCACUAUGCACAUAUGGUUAUUCGAACGAAUUGAUUUCCAUUAGACUAUGUUUUUCCUAAUUACUUGUUAUAUGAUAUUCUUUACUAUUCAGAGGUUGUUGAAGGGAGAUGGGGCUCUUCAGGCCCCUUUGGUGCAAAAGCACAAGCAGCAUCUACAGCUGACCACUCAUAGCCUAGGAUGUCCUGCAGAUUUGAUCUAUUUUGGAUAGAGCACAUGGAAUCAAACCACGGGUAAUCAAUUUGCUAUAUUCAUGUGAUUAACUAUGAGGAAUUUAUUACCUCUGUUUUAUUUGUAGGAUACCCAAGCAGUGCGUACAAAUUGUAGUGGUGCUUGUAGCUUAUCAUCAAUCUGCCAUUAUUAUUUGUGUGUAUGUGUUCAAAACGACCACUCUAGGGAUUCUUGAUUUGCUCCUGGCUGCACCGUUGGGUUUCCCGCGGCUUUGUUUCGUUUGAGUUCUGUUGUUCAUACCAGUCUAAUUCGCCAACAUCAGAUUUCUAAUAAUGCUUUCAACCUGGACAGUCUGAUGUGAGCAAGUUUCUUGCCCUAUCCAUGCAUCAACCAACAAUUUCUUGAUCCAGGUGCCCCAUGCCCUAUAGGGAAGCAGAAGGGCAUCAACAUCAGUGCCAGCCGCCCCAAUGUGGGAGGAAACAGGCGGAUGCACGCCAGUUGCUCGACGCCUUCUUCUUCUUGAAUAGUUGGGUGACCCGCCAUUAAACCACUAAUUUUGGCUUGCUCGUUCUCUCCAAGCCCAUUGACUAAUUAAUUUAGUUGAUUGUCUGUAGAAUUCAUGGUGGUGAUGGACCUUUAUCUGCCCGAUGUUCUCAUGGAUUUUUCAUGCAACUAGCAGGUCGUCCAUGUUGUUCUUUAUGCAUUUAAAAAAUACUAAUUAAAGGGAAAGGCAUGAAUGUGUAAGUUUUUGCAGCAGUAGAUUCAGAGUGGGUUAAAAAAAUUAUACAAUUCUUCAACCUCUUAAUAAUUAUGCAAUCAUCUCCUUGGAGUAGUGAGGAGGGCAUGCGUCAGAGACCUGUCGACAGAGGGAGUGCAGGCUUGUGUUUCAUAAGGGGGAUAGUUGUGAGCAAUGCAUACAUCUAGGUUUUCUAUUUUUAUUUUAGAGACAAACUUAGUUGUGGGAUUGCCGUGUUAGUUUUUCAAAACGAAAAUUAAGUGAUGAUCAUGUUUUAUCAACAUAGGUGUAGAGAUAACUUUAAUGAGUAAACAAAUAAUUUUCAUGCAGGUCAGUUCUGAUGUGUGUUGAAUAGCUCAAUUUUGUUUUGAUCUUCUACGUUUAGUCAUUGUUUGCUCUAGCAUCAACACUAACUGUCACACCCACGCCGCCCCAUGGACGACCCUGACCGAGGUGCGGGUCGGUGCUUGCCGUGGGUGCAUCCGCAGCGGUGCAGUGGCCUGCACUCAUCGAAAGCUUUGAAGCUUGGGAAAGCCACAAAACCAGAUGUUCCCCUCAACCUGAAGAUGUGAACUAUGCUGCUUCUCCCCGUAUGUGUAUUGCUUCCGCUGGAUGAUGCUCUAUUGUCGUUGUUGCCUCAGCCCUCCCAAUUGUCGUUUUCUCCCCUUCUCUUGCUGCUCAAUGAGGUUGAUCAUGCUGCUAGCUUUUAAUUCUAUGGAGUCUCUAUCUCUGCCUAUGAUAAAUUCAGUAUCGGUCAAUACACAUGUUUGUACCAAUCCAAGCCCUGUUGAUGAUAUAGUUUGGACUUGUAAUGAUCUGACUAUGUAUACCUUUUAUGGGAUUAAUGAUCUGACUAUGCAUACGACGAGGGCGCCAUCCCCUCUCCCUCGCCGCGUCACACCUUUGUGCCCGUUGUAGAUGACGAGGGCGCAUGGGUUUGGUGCUGAUGUGGCGACGGUAGGGGUUGUCAUCAGAGAAGGAGGCCAACUAUGUCGUGGCAGGGAGAGGAGGAUGUGGGUGACACUAUUGAGAGAAGGUAGGCUAUGGGGGCAACAUGGGACGGGCUUGAUAAGAGGGGGAGGAGAGAUGGUGGGGGAGGAGGGGGUCGGUCGACGCCGUGAAGCGGAGAGGAGGAUGCGCUACACCGUCGAUGGAAGGGCGGCGGCAGGGAAACGCGUGGAUGCGAGGGGAGAGAGUUCCGCGUGAAGCCAAAUAUUCAGAUGUUGGCAACACUGUUUGAUAGCAUGCUUGGGGCGACUUGGUAAGUACAGUCUCUUGUCCAUUACUGUCAUGAUUUAUGGUUUCUAAUAGCUACCACUUGUAGAUUUAUUUUCUAUAUCUUCUAUAUGCAUCCAUCAACCGAAAUAUAUUGUACAUUCAGCAACAAACAUGCAUGUUGUGUGUAUGUUUUAGACCCUAUCCAUACAUCAUAGUCGCCAGAGAUUAAAACUCUGAAGCAUUUAGUGAAAUUAUAAAGAUUUGUGAGGUAAUUCGACGACGCACUCAAAAUUGCGCAACUCGGCUGAAAUUCUGACAUAUCUAGAUGACAAAGUAUAUUUCUGGUUAGUAUUCCAAUGAGCAUGGAUGGAUACAUUUAUAUAUUUCAUUACCAUAACAUUCAAGAUACACGCAUUUAUAAUUGUUAUCACUGUAUUCAAGAUAACAUUAAUUUGGAAAUUACAGGGAUGUGUUUGGCUAUUUUUGUUUUUAAUUUUAUGCUCUCAUGAAAUAAUAAAGAAUUGGUUCAUCUGGUUUGCACGUUGAGUAUUCUCCUUGCAUAUUUUUAGACCUUUCACAUAAAAUAUUCAUACUAGCUAGAUAUAUUGCUUGUGCAGGUGGUUAUGAGUUGAGUAAGAAGUUAUUAUUAUAUUUGCUCAAUAUCGUGCGAAUGAAGCUAAAGACAACAUUGACAUUGUGCAAGAAUAUCUUAAGCCCAUCAAUCAGAUCUUAAUUUGUAACAGAUUAAUAGUUGGAUCAUUGAUUUCUAUGUAUACAUUAUUUAGUUACCUUUUUUUAUCAAAUUACAUUACAAGGGAA